UACGGAGGGUGCGAGCGUUGUCCGGAAUCACUGGGCGUAAAGGGCGCGUAGGCGGCAGGCCAAGCGUGCGGUGAAAGUCUGGGGCUCAACCCCGGAUCUGCCGUGCGGACUGGUUUGCUAGAGCACUGUAGAGGCGAGUGGAAUUCCGGGUGUAGCGGUGGAAUGCGUAGAGAUCCGGAAGAACACCGGUGGCGAAGGCGGCUCGCUGGGCAGUGGCUGACGCUGAGGCGCGACAGCGUGGGGAGCAAACAGG
rnacentral:rRNA from 1 species